GUCCACCAGAACGAUUCGCUUUCUAACCCCUCGCAUCUAAACGAUCAUUCUUCAAACCCGGAUCAGUCAAACGAUGACAGACACUGAACGUCAGUUGAGGAUAAGGGAACGAUGAAUGAGAGCAAGAAGAAAAAGUAGUGGGAUAUUCUAGCCAAAACAAGAGUUUAUGCGAUCUCAAUUCCUAAAAUUAUAUAUUUCUAUAUUAUUGUUAAUCAUUACUACAAUCUUGAGUUUUCUGAAUUCUAGAACGGUGACCCGACCAACCAAUUAUAACCCUAGUUUACACACAUGUUGGAUACAUGAAUUCAAUUUACUAGGUUUAUAGCUAACGAAUAGUUGAGGGAAAUAGGACGGUAGAAAAGCGUGACGUUAUAUACUAAACGAAUUUUUUAACAACCGUCAAUAAAUCGUUAAAAAAUUGGAAUUAUCCGUCUCUUCAAUUAUUCCGCUCCGUUGGCCGGACAGACCACAGGAUGUAUAAUAUUAUUCUACGAACUACGAUACUGGAUAUGAUAGUUAAGAAGGUGUUUUCUCAGUUUAUAAAUAAUAAAUAAAUGAUCAUCAAACAAGUUUUAUUUAUAUUUAAUUUACCAUCUUAUAUAAUUAUUAUUUACAUACCAUAUUAUAUUGAAAUUAUGUUAUUAUCAUCAGUGCCUCUUCGCAGAUUUCGAUGGUGCUGCAUGUUCCUAUAAGAAAUCAAAGAAAACAAUGAAUAACAGCUUGAAAUCAAUCCUGGAUGUGUAUUUUUCAUGCCCCGAUUUCUUGAUAAGCAUGCCCCAUGGAAUAUUUAGAACGCCAGCGCUGAUUUUUAUAUAAAAUGGUUAUUAAGCCAAGCCCAUCAUAAAUUAUUCUCACCUUCGCAAGCGUUUUUUCGCUGCUCAACCACAUCCGCAUGGCGUAAAGGCGUACUGUUUCCCGGUAUGAGGUUGAUAUUUCUGGAAUUAAACAAUUAAUAUAUAUUAUUCAUGUUUUGCAUAGUUGAGUUUAUACUUACAUGCAUUAUAAUCCGUUAUUUUUUUUUCUUUCGCACAAACACAAUGCACA